rnacentral:lncRNA from 1 species
CGCAUCUUCCCGGAAAACACGUAACGCACGCGCACGGUGACUGGGGCUACGUAAGGACGUCAAGGCGCGCGGUGGCGUGGACGGCAGUAUUUGUGGCUGGUGAUGCGGUUUCUGGGUCUUUGCGAUCCCUUCCUCGGUCCCUUCAGUAUCCGCUGCCAUCGAAGACCCCAGGCAGCUUGCGCUCUUUGAUGAGGCCGGGUUAAGAGUCUUGGGGUUGCUGUUCAGCGGUAGGAGGCCGGGCCCUCCCCACAAGUGCUGGUCCCUCGCGAGGGCCCUGGAGGAGACUCCUGUACUGCGGGGCGACUUGUGCCUUUCUUCUGCGGGUCUCGCUCCCGAAGAAAAACGGGGUUUCUUCUGUGUAACCUAGAGGGCACCGCUAAGCGGGAUGGAACCUGUGACCUCUAGGGACCUCACUGGGGAUGGGGCCUAUGACCUUAAGCCCACCCCUGGGUUGGGACCUGUGACCUCGUGGGAGACCCGCUUCAAAAGGUGCUGUAGAGAGGGUUCAGGCAUUUGGGGAUUACAGCUGUAUGGUGUCCUAAAGGCGCAAACUGAAACUUCAUUUGUCCACAUCUAGGCAGGAGUCGUGAUCAGAUGACCGAUCCCACAAAGUGGGAGAAGAGCUUACAGCCACAGCAGCUCUUCAGGAAGAUGUCAUGGUAAGUCAUGUUGUGAAUAGCCCAGCUUCGCCAAGGCUCACAUUUCUCUGAGUAAUUAAGUGUUUCUGAGGUGUCUUAGGCUAUAUCCUACCUCAGAAAUGUUUUCCAAGAUAUUAAAUAUGUGUUGAAUAUAUAUAGGGGUGGGGAAAACCUGUUUUUCUAGAAUUAGGUGAUACAUGGGUUAUUUCUGUGGUCAUGAUUUUAAGAAGCACCACCCUCGAUAGAGAAUAAUGUAAAAACUCCUGUCUGAUGUAUUAAUUAACGUUACCUUUUCCAACUUUCAUUAAUUCCUUAGCCAUAAAAGAACAUUCGCUAGAGUUAUCUGUAGCCAUAGACUUUUGGAGCCAAGCUCAGUGUACCUAAUUCAACUCGAUAGUCUGUUCGUUCUCUACCUUUGAAAGGGAUUUGGGUGCUCAGGAGAGUGUUCUAAGGGACACCUGGGGAGUGGAGGAUGUGGGCCAGUGAAUGUGAGUAGCAAGCCUCCAGCGUGCUUGGGUCUGCAGUGACCCUGUUGCAUUCCUACAGUGCUUGCCAGAACACUUUUGAAAUGGUUUGAGGCCUUGCCCUGCCCUAUCCAGAGCAAGGUUAUAGAAAUUUCAGACAACUGACUGCGCCUUUCCAGAUAACGGUAUGCUAUGCUGAGCAUUGUAUAGACCUUCAUAGUCUAAUGUUGCAGCCGCUUGACAUAUACACAUAUAGUUAAAGUAAAUAAGAUGUAAAAUUCAUUUUCUAGUUUAGACUAGUAUGGCAAGUGACUGUUGGACUGUACAGAUUAGAGAACAUUUUUGUCUAUAUGGGAGUUUGGGAGAGGGUGGCAAAAGAUAGGGAAGUCAUUGAAUAUUUAAAGUUGAAAAUGCAAGUUCAGGGGUAAUAAAGGUAGGAGUUAAACCAGAAUAGCAAAGAGUAACAGAAGAAUCCUGCCUUGAGAGAUUAGUGGAAGACAAAGCCAGGAAAACCAAGGACUCAGCAAAGGAACUGAGUGCCAGGGAGUUGUUGGAGGGUUAAAAGAGUGUGUAUCAAUCCUAAAGGAAGGCCUCAUAGAACAUGUAUGUACAGGUACCUUCUGACUGCCCUUUUGUGUCAUGUAGGGACUGGGGCUUGGGAGGUGGUGGGAAAUGCUGGUGCUGUCUGCUGCUUUUGCUGUGAAUCAACUGUCCUUUGUCCUUAGGGAGUUUUUAUGUUUUAAACUGGCAGGCUACCUUGUUAGCUGCAAGGAGGAGCAUCAUAGACGUUCCAGUUCCUAACAACUUCUACUUCCUGUGUCUCUGGCCCAGCAUGUAGCAGAAGGCUACCUGCUGUUCCUUGGUGUUUCAGCAGCAGUGAUCCCAGGAUGCCAGAGCUGAAUCCCUUCUGUAGCUACUAGGCUAGUCUGUGGCACCUGUGCAGUGUAAGUACAUUAUUAACUCUGACCUUCUUGUUACAAGUCAGACGUUUGAGUCCCAGAUAGGUUCACAGGACUUUUAGUUCACAGGACUGUCUAAUGUCUGACUUGUGGAGCUUUGGUUCUUAGGGAUGUUUUUUGACUGCCUUUUGUGGUUUGGAUUCAACCUGUGUUCAGUCAGUUGUGUGCCUGGAAAGGGCAUGCAUGGGCUGCUGUACAUGUGCGCCACAGAAAUGUCUCAGAUCACUGUGGAAGCGGGGUUGGGAGUUGGGAACUAGGAUUCAGCUUUGUUACUGCCACUUGUGACAAUAGGAGAUGGUUGGUUGCAAUUGUCCUGGGGAGCUGAAGGCAUUUAUAAAAGUCCCCACUUAUGUGUUAACGUCACUUAAUAAUACACCUCCAUGGCGUUUCUAAUUUCAUUUUUACAGAUGACAUGGAUACUGAAAAUGAGAAGUAAGGCCUGGCUGACCUGACCAUGUUGACAUCUAGUGCGAAGUGAAGCAGAAUUUGUACCUUAAUUGAGCAGAUUUGAAGCCUCGUGUACUUCUGUUUUUUUUUUUUUCCCUCAUGUACUUCUAAAAGGGUUCAGCAGUAUCUUGUUCUUGGCCUGGGCUAUGUGUCUGAGAGAAUUUUCUGGGUCCAGGUUUGGGCCCCAUUUUUUUCUGCCUCUAGAAUAAGCCUGGCUGAAGGGCCUCAGGCCCUUCUGGCAUCUCCCAAAUGAAAAAUGAGAUAUUCAAUAAACAUGGUUUUAAAUGUGUGAUUCACUCCAGCCUCUAUUUG